GAUGAACGCUAGCGAUAGGCUUAACACAUGCAAGUCGAGGGGCAGCAUGGUCUUAGCUUGCUAAGACUGAUGGCGACCGGCGCACGGGUGCGUAACGCGUAUGCAACUUGCCUCACAGAGGGGGAUAACCCGUCGAAAGACGGACUAAUACCGCGUACACUUGGGAUAGGGCAUCCUGACCCAAGGAAAUGAAAUUCGCUGUGAGAUAGGCAUGCGUCCCAUUAGCUAGUUGGUGAGGUAACGGCUCACCAAGGCGACGAUGGGUAGGGGAACUGAGAGGUUGAACCCCCACACUGGUACUGAGACACGGACCAGACUCCUACGGGAGGCAGCAGUGAGGAAUAUUGGUCAAUGGGCGAGAGCCUGAACCAGCCAAGUCGCGUGAAGGAUGACUGCCUUAUGGAUUGUAAACUUCUUUUAUACGGGAAUAACAAGAGCCACGUGUGGCUCCCUGCAUGUACCGUAUGAAUAAGCAUCGGCUAACUCCGUG
rnacentral:rRNA from 1 species